UUUAAUUGUGUGCAUUGAACGAGC
rnacentral:piRNA from 1 species